GCCUAGCUAAUAUUUUCUAUCAUUAUAGUGAUUCGUUUCUUUAAAAUUCCGUUUACCUACAGUCCCUUUUUACUCCUUUAAAGGAGCUAAGAGGUCUCGGCCUCAUUUAAGUUCAAGAUCUGCAAGGUUACCAGAGGAGGGUAACUCUCUCUCUCUCUCUCUCUCUCUCUGAGACAGAGCAAAAUGAAGAAUGUCAACAACAGCAACACAAGACUCAUCCUCCUCCACCCUUACAUCCAGAAGCAAGGAAGCUCCAACCGCCUAUGGCUCCUCGCCUUCAUCUCCUUCUUGACCACCGCCUUCGUCGUCACCCUCAUUUACACCAGAGAGUAUUCCACAACCGCCGCCGCCUCCGCUGCCACCACCACCUUUCCCUCCACCACGACCGCCUAUAGCAACGCGCCUCUGCCAUCGACCGUCAUCAACACCCUCCUUCACUAUGCAUCCAAGUCCAACGACUCUUUCCGCAUGUCCUACCCCGAGCUCAAGCCCAUCUCGGACGUCCUGAGGAAAUGCUCCUCCCCUCGCAACUUCCUAGUGUUUGGCCUCACUCAUGAGACCCUCCUCUGGAAAGCCCUCAACCAUCACUCAGAAGCGAAGUACCGCAUGGAUGAAUUUCACUAUACCAUCGGGUGAUUGCCCCCCAAAAAAGUUUCUAUUCGAGCAUAAUGCCGAUGAGAGACAAUGUCAAGACAAAGCAGUUUCCCUGAAAUUGCCAGCUCUGUGCUGCAUACCUGACAAGAGCUCCCACAGGCCCAGUCCUUGAAAUUGGAUGGUGAUGGCUUAGUCAUAGAGUGAGAGUUUAGAGCUGCCAAAGCCAUUGAUAUCUGCGUGAGGAAGAUUAUCUCCUCCCGCCAGUGCUUGUCCCUUCGUACGAAGGAACCCCACUCUGUGACGUCCGCCAGAAGUAGCUGGUCUUAAGCCAUGAUCGAAGAUCAACCACAAGCAAUGGACAAUGAGGGUUGGCCUCACUUGGGCAAGGGUCGCCCUUGCCCAGUGAUUGAUGAGGGCCAUCGGACCAUCGUCGGCCUCGUCAACUGCAACAAAAAAGGGAAAGAAAAGAGAAAAAUAAAAUAAAGUCUAAAAAUUGAGAAAAGUUACAAAAAUUGUCCAUAUUAUUGUUGACGGUGUCACGUAGAAUAAUUGACAUCCACAUUAUGAUUUGUUCAAAACCCCUAAGGCGAGUUCAUUUGUGUGGUUCAAAGUGUAAUGUAGACGAUAAAAUGCAGGAUUUCUUCCACACUAAUUUGGAUAGAAUCAAAAUUUAGUGAUUACAUUUCGAAUCAAUCUUGACUGAAAUUUGUUGGAUUCGAUCUUGUUGUGUUCACCAUAAAA